UGUCGUCAGCUCGUGUUGUGAAAUGUUGGGUUAAGUCCCGCAACGAGCGCAACCCUUAUCCUUUGUUGCCAGCGAUUAGGUCGGGAACUCAAAGGAGACUGCCAGUGAUAAACUGGAGGAAGGUGGGGAUGACGUCAAGUCAUCAUGGCCCUUACGACCAGGGCUACACACGUGCUACAAUGGCGCAUACAAAGAGAAGCGACCUCGCGAGAGCAAGCGGACCUCAUAAAGUGCGUCGUAGUCCGGAUUGGAGUCUGCAACUCGACUCCAUGAAGUCGGAAUCGCU
rnacentral:rRNA from 1 species